AGAAUUUGUGUGUGUUUGUUCAACGAGUGGACAAAGGCAGAUUAGACAGGUACAAAAAUAAAUGCUCUUGUGCAACCCAGAAUUUGUUUUUCAGUAUAAGUUUUGAUAUAUACUAGAAAAAGUAAG
ensembl:snoRNA small nucleolar RNA SNORA40